rnacentral:rRNA from 1 species
AUUGAACGCUGGCGGCAUGCCUUACACAUGCAAGUCGAACGGCAGCACGGGUGCUCGCACCUGGUGGCGAGUGGCGAACGGGUGAGUAAUAUAUCGGAACGUACCUUAUUGUGGGGGAUAACGCAGCGAAAGCUGUGCUCAUACCGCAUAAUCCCUCAGGGGGAAAGCGGGGGACCGUAAGGCCUCGCGCAAUUAGAGCGGCCGAUACCUGAUUAGCUAGUUGGUGAGGUAAAGGCUUACCAAGGCAACGAUCAGUAGCUGGUCUGAGAGGUCGAUCAGCCACUGUGGAACUGAGACACGGUCCAGACUCAUACGGGAGGCAGCAGUGGGGAAUUUUGGACGAUGGGGGCAACCCUGAUCCAGAAAUGCCGCGUGAGUGAAGAAGGCCUUCGGGUUGUAAAGCUCUUUUGUCAGGGAAGAAACAGCAGCUCUAACACAGUUUGCGAAUGACGGUACCUGAAGAAUAAGCACCGGCUAACUACGUGCCAGCAGCCGCCGUAA